GAUAACGAAUACUAAUCUUCACGAUUCUGAGUUAAGUGGUGUAAUGUUUGCAUUGGUGCUCCAAGAAGAUCUGUACUUAUAUUUUGUUGUUGAAGAUGUCUAGAGAGAAUUCACAAGAAUUACUUAAAUUUUUGGUCCACCCAUUUAUAGUCAGCAACCUUGACGGUAUUUUGUGUGUAACUGGUAAGGUAACUUAGUUAUUUUUAUCAGACAUUUGAGCAUUAUUAUUUCUACGUAAGGCAUAGCAAUCAUCCACAACUAAUCAUGUAUGUUUUCAUUGACUUUAUUUCUUUAGGUGACAGCAGAUACUAUAUCUAGUGAUGUAUUGAUCCUGGCCAAAAAGGUUGCACUAAAACUGAGUAAAGCCUAUUCGCAAUGCCCGCUCAGUUACUCACAAAGUUAUAGUAUUGGUUCAGGCCAACAAAGGAUUACGAGUCUCCAUGCUUCAUUCAAUUUAUUUUCCUGUAAACAGUGCAAGAGAGUGUAAACAGCUAGGGGUAACAGACGCUACGCGCCUCUACUAAACACUUUGUAAGUUGUUUUUACUCAUCUUAAAACGUCUCUAAUAAACCGACUCAAACCUAUACAUUUUUCAUAAGCUCAACUCAAGUAAUCUUCUUGAUGGUAAACUAUGUCUGGAACUUGCAGUACUGUAAAAUUACCCCGUUAUAGCUAUGAAAACAAGACAACUAUAGUUAGAGAAAAAAAAAGUUAAAACCAAUUUUUGAAAUAAUUCAACAGAUUAGUCCAAGGCCUUAAAUUUUGAUGAUUUUGAAUUGAUAUCGUUAAUUGUAAAAUUUUAAUUUGUUCUCAAAUCUGUUGCAUAUAUGAUAUGCGUUUAUUUGCAGAUCACAAUGCUUGAGAGACAACCUCAAGAGUUCCAUCGUUCAGUUUCUUAAGUUCAGCUCUUCUCUCAGGUAUGUUUUCAACCUCUUUCUUUUAUUUAGGCUUCAUUUUUGCUCUACAUUUUGAAAAUAUCAUCUCUUUUCUUUUUAUGCAGUAGCAGAUUCAUAGCCAACGUGGCUAUCUCACUAAACAAGAAAUCUUCGUAAGGUAUGCACGACCGACUUCAACAAUAUUUUCCUUGAGUUCCUCAAUAGCGUGACCUCAGUCAACAUCCUGAAUCUUUGUUUGUUAUUUCUUUCUUACAUGUUUUACUUGUUUUGCUUGUUUUCUUCUCUACUUCAUUGUUUGUUUGUUUCUUUGUGUAUUUGAUUCUAUUGCUUAGUGUAUUGCAUGUUUCUUUGCUUCUUUGAUUCCUCUGCUUAGAGUAUUGCUUAUUUUUUUGCUUCAUUUUUUCACUGCUUAGUGUAUUGCAUGUUUCUUUGAUUCUUUGACUCCUCUGCUUAGUGUAUGUAUUGCUUGUUUCUUUGAUUCUUUGACUCCUCUGCUUAGUCUAUGUAUUGCUUGUUUCUUUGCUUCUUUGAUUCCUCUGUUUAGUGCAUUGCUUGAUUUUGUACUUCCGUGUUUU
rnacentral:lncRNA from 1 species